rnacentral:rRNA from 1 species
UACGUAGGGGGCAAGCGUUGUCCGGAUUUAUUGGGCGUAAAGAGCGUGUAGGCGGCCAGACAAGUCCGUUGUGAAAACUAGAGGCUUAACCUCCUAGACGUCGAUGGAAACUGUUUGGCUAGAGUCCGGAAGAGGAGAAUGGAAUUCCUGGUGUAGCGGUGAAAUGCGCAGAUAUCAGGAAGAACGACCCGUGGCUAAGGCGGUUCUCUGGGACGGGUACUGACGCUGGAG